AUCAACCAUAUCACAGUGAAUACACCAGUUGUCGUCCGAUCGCUGGAGUUAAGCAACGUCGGGCGCAGUUAGUUCUUAGAUGGUUGCCACUUGGAAAUACUACUACGUGCCGUUGAUA